UAGGGAAUAUUGCACAAUGGGGGAAACCCUGAUGCAGCGACGCCGCGUGAGUGAUGAAGGCCUUCGGGUCGUAAAGCUCUGUCGUAUGGGACUAACAAAAUGAAGGUACCAUGCAAGAAAGGAUCGGCUAACUUCGUGCCAGCAGCCGCGGUAAGACGAGGGAUCCUAGCGUUGUUCGGAAUCAUUGGGCGUAAAGCGGGUGUAGGCGGACUUAUAAGUCAGGUGUGAAAUCCCAGGGCUCAACCCUGGAAGUGCACUUGAUACUGCAAGUCUUGAGUGUGGUAGAGGCUAUUAGAAUUCCUGGUGUAGUGGUGAAAUACGUAGAUAUCAGGAGGAACACCAGUGGCGAAGGCGACUUGCUGGACUUAUGGUGACGCUGAGACGCGAAAGCGUGGGGAGCAAACAGGAUUAGAUACCCUUGUAGUCCCUGAGCGGGCUGGCAAGGCGCAU
rnacentral:rRNA from 1 species